rnacentral:rRNA from 1 species
UAGGGAAUCUUCGGCAAUGGACGAAAGUCUGACCGAGCAACGCCGCGUGAGUGAAGAAGGUUUUCGGAUCGUAAAACUCUGUUGGUAGAGAAGAACGUUGGUGAGAGUGGAAAGCUCAUCAAGUGACGGUAACUACCCAGAAAGGGCGGCUAAUUACGUGCCA